rfam:Medicago truncatula strain A17 chromosome 5, whole genome shotgun sequence.
GUGUCAUGGUCAUUGUUGACCAUUCAUAUGACCCAUACAAUUGCAUUGCAGCUUCUGUGGGGUUAUAUAAUGAUCAACAGAGACCUUUGACAU